UACGGAGGGUGCAAGCGUUACCCGGAAUCACUGGGCGUAAAGGGCGUGUAGGCGGGAUGUUAAGUCUGGCUUUGAAGACCGGAGCUCAACUCCGGGAGUGGGCUGGGUACUGGAAUUCUAGACCGCUGGAGAGAGAACUGGAAUUCCUGGUGUAGCGAUGGAAUGCGUAGAUACCAGGAGGAACACCAACGGCGAAGGCAGGUUCUUGGACAGAAGGUGACGCUGAGGCGCGAAAGUGUGGGGAGCGAACCGG
rnacentral:rRNA from 1 species